UAGGACAAGAUAACGAGUAGGGGGUCGACUCUGUAAACGCAUUUACGGCACACAUUCACGAUGAAAAUCAGCUAUAGGUGCUGGGAAUUCCCAAUGUACAAGAGUAAAUGAGGUGACUCGUGAACUUAUAGACUCGGGUUUUGAGUUCCGGAUCUAACGUAACUACCCAAGACGUAACUAACGGAAAGGACGUAGGGGAUUAAGUAUAUUUGCCCGGUUGGCUAAAAAAUACAACAGUUAU